GGGGAACAUCCAAAAGUUGAGAUGUUACCUGAUACAACCUUCCUAAAGAGAAUCUCUGCAUCUUUCCUACUUGUAGUGCUUGAGCAAGAUCUUCAAGUCUCAAUUAUGCAGGGACACAA